rnacentral:snRNA from 1 species
UAUGAUCUAUAUAGGUCGAUUUG